rnacentral:lncRNA from 1 species
CAACACAUCACACACAAGAAACAGUUGUGCUCAUGUGAUGGGGGCCUCAGCACUAGGAAGGAGUGGACUGUUGGCGCACGCAGCAGCUUGAAUAAAUCUGAAAGUCACUACGCUGCGUAAGAGAAGCCAAAUAAAGCGCAUGCUGUGUACAGAGGGUGUCGAGAAUGUGUCCUACGUGACGGAAAGCAGAUCCGUGGUUCCCUGCAGACUGGCAGGAGCAGAUUCCAAAGGCACAGGAAGAAGCUUGCAGCUGACAGAAACUCAUGACAGCCUGGUUUAGAUAAAGGGGGAGAGAAGGACUGGAAGAAUCUUGGAGUUGGGAAUGUCGCACGUAAUUGAAGGAAGAACAAGAAAACUAUAAUUCUUCCCCUGGAGGCUGGAGUUUCCAGGAUGUCAAAAUUACCUCUGCUUGGGUGAGCUAUUUCAAGCAGCUGGGAUACCUGUGUCACUCCUGCUGUCUGCCAGUGACUGCCCAGGUGUCUGCUGGUUCCUCCCCAGGAGUAGGGAGGAACCAGGUGGGCUGGCUGGGAUGGGUGGAUAUUUAAAGACCAGGCCUUGGACGCCGCAGCACUUCUAUCUCUGCUUGAUGCCUGCUGCCACGUGGCUGGUCCUCCUCCUCUUGCUGUGGCUGAGCCCUGGGGUGAAGACAGGCAGCUAUUCCCAACCCCAGAACCUUUGCUGUCUUGGAACAGAUCACCACUGCAAGAGGGGAAGUUGCUACUGUGAUGAAUUCUGCCAUGUGGUACCAGACUGCUACCCAGACCACAGUGUCCUCUGCAACCCUCCUUCUCAGAUGACCAAGAUGGUGCUGCAGAUGGUGCUGAGGAUGGAGAACCCACCAAGCCC